UUGUCAAAUUCAUACAGGUCUCCGGUGGAACUGCAAUAAAAAGCUUAACUUUUUACUUCUCUGAUUAUUUGUGGUAUGGUUGUAAGAAAAGCAUCCCUUUCGAGUGAGCUAAGCUGCUCAUAUUUUCCGAAAAAACAAAAGUUGAUCAUACUUUCAAAUGGAGAAAGUCCUAAAUGACCGGCGAUGUAAAUCUUAUUAUUUCUGAGGUCUCGGGCAUCUUCGUUCUUAUCGCCGUCCAUUUUCCUUCCAUUGACUGGCUUCCACGUGGAAGUUUAUUAUUGGCAAAUGUUAAAAUCGCUCCGAGAUGGAUGGGGCCCACUUUUGGUGUCCAUGCUUCCUGAGGAAUAUCCGGCUGCCACGUGGGAAUCUGAUGGAAUCUCUUUGCCGCACUCUCGUCGAUAUCGACAUUUCAGCACGGGCGGCCCACCGUUCUAUCAAAAAACAACGGUCAUGACCUUCCGUUGAACUACCGGAUGACUUCGUUGAGCGCCAUGUUGGUGCUAUGAGCAGGUUGUUUUUGGUAGAGUUUGUCAUCAAAUCAAUAUUGCGAGUUAAUCAAGUCAUAUUUUAUACAAAAGAAUGAAUCAACGUCAGAUUGGUAGCACAUAGCAUGACAUUUAUGAUGUGCCAAGGAUUUAAAUAAGGGGCAUUUACAUACAUAC